AUUGAACGCUGGCGGCAUGCCUUACACAUGCAAGUCGAACGGUAACGGGCCUUCGGGUGCCGACGAGUGGCGAACGGGUGAGUAAUGUAUCGGAACGUACCUUUCAGUGGGGGAGUAACGUAGCGAAAGUUAACGCUAAUACCGCAUAUUCUGUGAGCAGGAAAGCAGGGGAUCGCAAGACCUUGCGCUGAUUGAGCGGCCGAUAUCAGAUUAGCUAGUUGGUGAGGUAAAGGCUCACCAAGGCGACGAUCUGUAGCGGGUCUGAGAGGAUGAUCCGCCACACUGGAACUGAGACACGGUCCAGACUCCUACGGGAGGCAGCAGUGGGGAAUUUUGGACAAUGGGGGCGAACCCUGAUCCAGCCAUGCCGCGUGAGUGAAGAAGGCCU
rnacentral:rRNA from 1 species